ACUAGUUAUUAACACACUACUUACACCAUGUGGACUAUCAGGUAGACACUAGUUAUUAACACACUACUUACACCAUGUGGACUAUCAGGUAGACACUAGUUAUUAACACACUACUUACACCAUGUGGACUAUCAGGUAGACACUAGUUAUUAACACACUACUUACACCAUGUGGACUAUCAGGUAGACACUAGUUAUUAACACACUACUUACACAAUGUGGACUAUCAGGUAGACACUAGUUAUUAACACACUACUUACACCAUGUGGACUAUCAGGUAGACACUAGUUAUUAACACACUACUUACACCAUGUGGACUAUCAGGUAGACACUAGUUAUUAACACACUACUUACACCAUGUGGACUAUCAGGUAGUCACUAGUUAUUAACACACUACUUACACCAUGUGGACUAUCAGGUAGUCACUAGUUAUUAACACCUCCCACUACUUACACCAUGUGGACUAUCAGGUAGUCACUAGUUAUUAACACCUCCCACUACUUACACCAUGUGGACUAUCAGGUAGUCACUAGUUAUUAACACCUCCCACUACUUACACCAUGUGGACUAUCAGGUAGUCACUAGUUAUUAACACCUCCCACUACUUACACAAUGUGGACUAUCAGGUAGUCACUAGUUAUUAACACCUCCCACUACUUACACCAUGUGGACUAUCAGGUAGUCACUAGUUAUUAACACCUCCCACUACUUACACAAUGUGGACUAUCAGGUAGUCACUAGUUAUUAACACACUACUUACACCAUGUGGACUAUCAGGUAGUCACUAGUUAUUAACACCUCCCACUACUUACACAAUGUGGACUAUCAGGUAGUCACUAGUUAUUAACACACUACUUACACCAUGUGGACUAUCAGGUAGACACUAGUUAUUAACACCUCCCACUACUUACACCAUGUGGACUAUCAGGUAGUCACUAGUUAUUAACACCUCCCACUACUUACACAAUGUGGACUAUCAGGUAGUCACUAGUUAUUAACACACUACUUACACCAUGUGGACUAUCAGGUAGUCACUAGUUAUUAACACCUCCCACUACUUACACCAUGUGGACUAUCAGGUAGUCACUAGUUAUUAACACACUACUUACACCAUGUGGACUAUCAGGUAGUCACUAGUUAUUAACACCUCCCACUACUUACACCAUGUGGACUAUCAGGUAGACACUAGUUAUUAACACCUCCCACUACUUACACCAUGUGGACUAUCAGGUAGACACUAGUUAUUAACACACUACUUACACCAUGUGGACUAUCAGGUAGUCACUAGUUAUUAACACCUCCCACUACUUACACCAUGUGGACUAUCAGGUAGACACUAGUUAUUAACACCUCCCACUACUUACACCAUGUGGACUAUCAGGUAGUCACUAGUUAUUAACACCUCCCACUACUUACACAAUGUGGACUAUCAGGUAGUCACUAGUUAUUAACACACUACUUACACCAUGUGGACUAUCAGGUAGACACUAGUUAUUAACACCUCCCACUACUUACACCAUGUGGACUAUCAGGUAGACACUAGUUAUUAACACACUACUUACACCAUGUGGACUAUCAGGUAGACACUAGUUAUUAACACACUACUUACACCAUGUGGACUAUCAGGUAGACACUAGUUAUUAACACUACUUACACCAUGUGGACUAUCAGGUAGACACUAGUUAUUAACACACUACUUACACCAUGUGGACUAUCAGGUAGACACUAGUUAUUAACACACUACUUACACCAUGUGGACUAUCAGGUAGACACUAGUUAUUAACACCUCCCACUACUUACACCAUGUGGACUAUCAGGUAGUCACUAGUUAUUAACACUACUUACACCAUGUGGACUAUCAGGUAGACACUAGUUAUUAACACACUACUUACACCAUGUGGACUAUCAGGUAGUCACUAGUUAUUAACACCUCCCACUACUUACACCAUGUGGACUAUCAGGUAGACACUAGUUAUUAACACACUACUUACACCAUGUGGACUAUCAGGUAGACACUAGUUAUUAACACCUCCCACUACUUACACCAUGUGGACUAUCAGGUAGACACUAGUUAUUAACACCUCCCACUACUUACACCAUGUGGACUAUCAGGUAGUCACUAGUUAUUAACACUACUUACACCAUGUGGACUAUCAGGUAGACACUAGUUAUUAACACCUCCCACUACUUACACCAUGUGGACUAUCAGGUAGACACUAGUUAUUAACACCUCCCACUACUUACACCAUGUGGACUAUCAGGUAGUCACUAGUUAUUAACACCUCCCACUACUUACACCAUGUGGACUAUCAGGUAGUCACUAGUUAUUAACACUACUUACACCAUGUGGACUAUCAGGUAGACACUAGUUAUUAACACACUACUUACACCAUGUGGACUAUCAGGUAGACACUAGUUAUUAACACCUCCCACUACUUACACCAUGUGGACUAUCAGGUAGACACUAGUUAUUAACACCUCCCACUACUUACACCAUGUGGACUAUCAGGUAGACACUAGUUAUUAACACCUCCCACUACUUACACCAUGUGGACUAUCAGGUAGUCACUAGUUAUUAACACCUCCCACUACUUACACCAUGUGGACUAUCAGGUAGACACUAGUUAUUAACACCUCCCACUACUUACACAAUGUGGACUAUCAGGUAGACACUAGUUAUUAACACACUACUUACACCAUGUGGACUAUCAGGUAGACACUAGUUAUUAACACACUACUUACACCAUGUGGACUAUCAGGUAGUCACUAGUUAUUAACACACUACUUACACCAUGUGGACUAUCAGGUAGACACUAGUUAUUAACACCUCCCACUACUUACACCAUGUGGACUAUCAGGUAGUCACUAGUUAUUAACACCUCCCACUACUUACACCAUGUGGACUAUCAGGUAGUCACUAGUUAUUAACACCUCCCACUACUUACACAAUGUGGACUAUCAGGUAGUCACUAGUUAUUAACACACUACUUACACCAUGUGGACUAUCAGGUAGACACUAGUUAUUAACACCUCCCACUACUUACACCAUGUGGACUAUCAGGUAGUCACUAGUUAUUAACACCUCCCACUACUUACACCAUGUGGACUAUCAGGUAGUCACUAGUUAUUAACACACUACUUACACCAUGUGGACUAUCAGGUAGACACUAGUUAUUAACACCUCCCACUACUUACACCAUGUGGACUAUCAGGUAGACACUAGUUAUUAACACCUCCCACUACUUACACCAUGUGGACUAUCAGGUAGUCACUAGUUAUUAACACACUACUUACACCAUGUGGACUAUCAGGUAGACACUAGUUAUUAACACACUACUUACACCAUGUGGACUAUCAGGUAGUCACUAGUUAUUAACACCUCCCACUACUUACACCAUGUGGACUAUCAGGUAGUCACUAGUUAUUAACACACUACUUACACCAUGUGGACUAUCAGGUAGACACUAGUUAUUAACACCUCCCACUACUUACACCAUGUGGACUAUCAGGUAGACACUAGUUAUUAACACACUACUUACACCAUGUGGACUAUCAGGUAGUCACUAGUUAUUAACACCUCCCACUACUUACACCAUGUGGACUAUCAGGUAGUCACUAGUUAUUAACACACUACUUACACCAUGUGGACUAUCAGGUAGUCACUAGUUAUUAACACCUCCCACUACUUACACCAUGUGGACUAUCAGGUAGUCACUAGUUAUUAACACACUACUUACACCAUGUGGACUAUCAGGUAGACACUAGUUAUUAACACCUCCCACUACUUACACCAUGUGGACUAUCAGGUAGUCACUAGUUAUUAACACCUCCCACUACUUACACCAUGU